UUCUACCAUACCCACCUUUUUUUUGUGUGGGUACGGUACCCACCCAUUGAUCUAACCAUUUAUUUCACUUGUUUUCAUCUUAGCCGUUUAUGUGAUUUUAAUGAAUUACCAGUUACCAGUCAAGCAGGUAACAUAUAAAAUCAAACACAGGAAAAAAAACAAACGUUUCUUUUUUCUUUUUUCUCUCUCACCUCACCGUCUUGCGUGCUCUCUCUACUUCUCUACUGUGUUCUUUUAAUUUUGCUCCUCCUCAUCAUUCUUGGCCGAUCUUCACCUCAUCUUCAUACAAAUCUCAGUGAGAAAAAGGAGGUAAGGAGCCUUGCAGCUUUAGGUGUUAUUUAUGUAGUUAAACGCAUAUGGAGCUAGAAGAUUGAGAUUGCAAAAAGUAAGAGAUCCAUGUUCUACUGGGAUACAUAGCCUAUGAUCUACUUCUUCUAAAAAGUUUGCUUAUUUCUAUAUUAAAAGUCCUGGUUUGUGUGAGUGUUUUAAAUUUCACAUCCUAGUUCAAGCCAGACUUAUAUCGUUAUGUGGGCUGUUAUUAUUUCUUUCAUUUGUGUGUAUCUUAAUUAAAGUUGGCAUUAUAAAUUAUCAAAUAAGAUUCUACAGAUUGGUUUGAACACUAGAAGCAAUUAUGGAUAUGUUGUAAGAUUUUAGAAGAAAAAGUAUUUGUUGGCUUUGAGAACU